rnacentral:lncRNA from 1 species
UAAUAACAAAAAGAAAAGAUGGAAGAAAACUAAAAAUGGUAGAAGAUGCCACACUCAAUAGAGAUUGAUUAGUCUAAUGAGGAUUCACUGCAAAGGUAUGAGAAUCUUUUGUCAAGAUCAAUUUUAGUUUGGGAGAAUGAGAGUCCAACUAGUAACUUUAAACCUCAAAGGGAUUUACAACAAGUUGACCCACUUAUUCCGUUCUUUUUAACUAUUGUAGCCAAAAGGUUGGAAGGUUUGAUGAAGAAAGCUUAAAAAAGAGACUCUUUUUCGAUUAUUUGGUAGGAACACAAAAAGUGGAGGCUAAUUUGUUACAAUUUGCGGAUGCUAUAUUUUUUUUGGAGAGCCCACAAUGAACAAUGGUUGUUGUCAUCAAGGCAAUCAUGGGAUGCUUUGACUUGGCUUCAGAACUUGAAGUAAAUUUUAGUAAAAGUAGUUUUUGGAGGUAUGGGGAUGGAGGGAGGUGAGAUUGAGAUGUUGGCCAAUGAAAAUUGUCAUAUUUUCCUAUAUUUUGGUGUCAUUUUGGAGCUAUUAUUUGAUAUCUCUUAUGCUUUUGAACUUUGUUUAAUUUAUAUUCAUUUGAGUAAAGUUUUAAGAAAAAAAAAAGUUUAGUUUAACUAGGAUUUUCUAGUUUAUACCUUUUAUGUUUGACUUUGGUUUGUUUCCUGUGUUUUGUAGGAGCUUUGUGGAAGAAGAACCAAACAGUGGAGAUAUCCCAAGAAUGAUUUUGAUGCAUCAAGGAUCACUUUGGUUGAAGUCUAGAGCUUUGGAGGCUUUGUAGGGGCAAAAGAAAUAUUUUUUUGAAGUUUUGGAACUUCACGCACCUGUGUAAGAAUUUGUGAAAGAAGUCGCACACCUGUGCAAUGCUGAAUUUGAAGGUGAGAAAAUUGCACAGCCGUGCAAUGGAGUCGCACACCUGUGCAACGACCUUUGCGUGAAUUUUACCUUAUUUUUCAUUCUAUUUUUUUUUGGACUUGGAUUCUAUUUAGCCUAUAGCUUUAAAUAAGGAUAUGUUGCCCUAGUCAAGGGAGUGUCACUUUUAUGUUAGAGAGAGAGCAAGAGACAUCGAGAUGUUCUUGAUGAUUUUGGAUGUGGAGGGAUUUGUUCUCCAUUGUUUCUUCAUCAAGUGCUUCUUCCUCCAAGGCUACUAG